rnacentral:rRNA from 1 species
AGUGAACGCUGGCGGUAGGCCUAACACAUGCAAGUCGAACGGCAGCACAGUAAGAGCUUGCUCUUACGGGUGGCGAGUGGCGGACGGGUGAGGAAUACAUCGGAAUCUACUUUUUCGUGGGGGAUAACGUAGGGAAACUUACGCUAAUACCGCAUACGACCUACGGGUGAAAGCAGGGGAUCUUCGGACCUUGCGCGAUUGAAUGAGCCGAUGUCGGAUUAGCUAGUUGGCGGGGUAAAGGCCCACCAAGGCGACGAUCCGUAGCUGGUCUGAGAGGAUGAUCAGCCACACUGGAACAGAGGCACGGUCCAGACUCCUACGGGAGGCAGCAGUGGGGAAUAUUGGACAAUGGGCGCAAGCCUGAUCCAGCCAUACCGCGUGGGUGAAGAAGGCCUUCGGGUUGUAAAGCCCUUUUGUUGGGAAAGAAAAGCAGCAGGUUAAUACCCCACUGUUCUGACGGUACCCAAAGAAUAAGCACCGGCUAACUUCGUG